ACUGUCUGGCACUCCCUAGUGAGAUGAACCCCGUACCUCAGAUGGAAAUGCAGAAAUCACCGUCUUCUGCGUCGCCCACGCUGGAAGCUGUAGACCGGAACUGUUCCUAUUCGGCCAUCUUGGCUCCUCCUCGCAGCAAUCCAGCCUGAAGGACUUAGCUCAUAGAUGUCUUCUGAAAUGUGGAAGAAAUACUUUCGUUUGUCAUAAAACCUCAGCAGGAGAUUGGAGUCUGGAAGAGGGAGGGGAGAAGAGGAGGACCUCAGGGAGAUUGUUUUGCUUAUUGGUGUUUAAUUAAAAACCAAACAACUUUUCCUAUUAACUUGAUGCUACUUAUUAAUUGAAAUGAGGAGACUGACUCUGGAUAUUGGGAAAAUUUAUGGGCACAUACAGAGGAAAAGACAUGUGGGGACAUAAUGAGAGGACAGCCAUCUGCAAGCC
rnacentral:lncRNA from 10 species